UUUCCGUAGGUGAACCUGCGGAGGGAUCAUUAAACGUAUACACGUAUAACACAUGCAAACUUGUUUUGAAUAAUUACUUAUGUAAGUUGAUGGUUCACUGGAAGAUUAGUGUGAGUACAUGGGUGGGAUUUUUUUCUCAGAGCUCUGCUAAUCGAAUGCCAUGAUGUUGCGUAAGUUUUUCUUAAAUCACAUGAUUGUCUUUAUUACUUAUUACCCUUUGUAUAUUUUGAUGAACAUUGUGAUUCAUUAGUUAAAUUUUGAAUGAAGUAAUAUAAAUGAAAAUUGAGCACAACUCUCAACAACGGAUAUCUUGGUUCUC
rnacentral:misc_RNA from 1 species